rnacentral:lncRNA from 1 species
GCACCCGGUGAGCGGGCGGGGGUGCCCGGGCGGGGCGCAGGCGGCUCCCGGGGGCGCUGCGCGUCGGCCCUGCCUGCCUCCAGGAUCCGGGGCCUGGCAGCCCCCAGAGGCGGGCGCCCGGACUCCGACCUGGAAGCCCGUGGCGCAGACGGGUUGCUUGCGCCCAAGUGAUGGGAGGAUGGCGAGCGGCCCGCCCCCAGCCGCGACCCCGAACCGUGAAGGGAGCACUAACGCCGGAAAGUCAUUGGCUGCUGUCAGACCGGGUCUGGCCGAAGCCUGUGGGGAGGGCUGGGCCUGCGGGUAGGGGAGGGUGGACGUGCCCGGCUUCCGGCUCUUCCGCCUCUGGCCAGAGCAGCACGUGGGCGGCCCUUUGCCCUGACCCGUGGCGGAAAGGAAGCUAGCAGGAGCCCCUGUGCAGGCCUCCGGGCUGAAGGCCUUGUGGUGGAGGCAGAUGCCCUGGACAGUGCCUCCCCGAGCCCGUAACCAACUUCGCUGCUAGGUUUUUACGCAUCGGUUCUGUACUUGCCGUUCUGUGUUUCUCUCUCCACGAUUUCGGCACGCCAUAAAUGGCGGUUCCUAGGCCAAACCAGGGAGCCACUUGCUAUUUCUCCUUUCCUGGGGUGGCCCAGUCCAUUGGGCUCCAUGCCCUGUGAUGACACCACUGGCCGUGGGCAGUCACCCUUUCUGCCAGGCACAGGCAGCCCCUGCCCUGUUAUGCCUGCUUCCUACAGCACCCCUGGGAGUCCAGCACUGUCCACGUCCCGGUUCUGCAGAGCAGGGAGGGUUUCCGGGGUGAGGUGACCUGCCCGAGGUCCCUCCAGGUAAAGGACAGCACGAGGGUUCGGGCUCCGCAGGGGAGCCCAGAGCCCUGUACCUGCUGCCGGGUUCCCAGCACUUGGCCUGUCAAGUUGCUCAAGAGAAUGGCUGUCUGCCCUGUGGGCACCCUCUCCCUCCACCAGUCCUGUGGUGGCUGCCACUCAGGGACUGAUUCGCCCUGGAUAAAGCAGCCACAGAAGUGCAGGCAGGAAUGGGCAUCCCAGAUAAGAGCCAGACGGCCCACGCCUCCCCCGGCGCUCUGCCUCGGACCCCGGGGCCCGGGCGCUCAUGACGCCUAUGCUGACCGCCACCCGGACGCCGCCGCUGCGAGCCUGCGCCGCCGC